UUAAGCGACUAAGCGUACACGGUGGAUGCCCUGGCAGUCAGAGGCGAUGAAGGACGUGCUAAUCUGCGAUAAGCGUCGGUGAGGUGAUAUGAACCGUUAUAACCGGCGAUUUCCGAAUGGGGAAACCCAGUGUGUUUCGACACACUAUCAUUAACUGAAUCCAUAGGUUAAUGAGGCGAACCGGGGGAACUGAAACAUCUAAGUACCCCGAGGAAAAGAAAUCAACCGAGAUUCCCCCAGUAGCGGCGAGCGAACGGGGAGGAGCCCAGAGCCUGAAUCAGUGUGUGUGUUAGUGGAAGCGUCUGGAAAGGCGCGCGAUACAGGGUGACAGCCCCGUACACAAAAAUGCACAUAUUGUGAGCUCGAUGAGUAGGGCGGGACACGUGGUAUCCUGUCUGAAUAUGGGGGGACCAUCCUCCAAGGCUAAAUACUCCUGACUGACCGAUAGUGAACCAGUACCGUGAGGGAAAGGCGAAAAGAACCCCGGCGAGGGGAGUGAAAAAGAACCUGAAACCGUGUACGUACAAGCAGUGGGAGCCUCUUUAUGGGGUGACUGCGUACCUUUUGUAUAAUGGGUCAGCGACUUAUAUUCUGUAGCAAGGUUAACCGAAUAGGGGAGCCGAAGGGAAACCGAGUCUUAACUGGGCGUUAAGUUGCAGGGUAUAGACCCGAAACCCGGUGAUCUAGCCAUGGGCAGGUUGAAGGUUGGGUAACACUAACUGGAGGACCGAACCGACUAAUGUUGAAAAAUUAGCGGAUGACUUGUGGCUGGGGGUGAAAGGCCAAUCAAACCGGGAGAUAGCUGGUUCUCCCCGAAAGCUAUUUAGGUAGCGCCUCGUGAAUUCAUCUCCGGGGGUAGAGCACUGUUUCGGCAAGGGGGUCAUCCCGACUUACCAACCCGAUGCAAACUGCGAAUACCGGAGAAUGUUAUCACGGGAGACACACGGCGGGUGCUAACGUCCGUCGUGAAGAGGGAAACAACCCAGACCGCCAGCUAAGGUCCCAAAGUCAUGGUUAAGUGGGAAACGAUGUGGGAAGGCCCAGACAGCCAGGAUGUUGGCUUAGAAGCAGCCAUCAUUUAAAGAAAGCGUAAUAGCUCACUGGUCGAGUCGGCCUGCGCGGAAGAUGUAACGGGGCUAAACCAUGCACCGAAGCUGCGGCAGCGACACUAUGUGUUGUUGGGUAGGGGAGCGUUCUGUAAGCCUGUGAAGGUGGCCUGUGAGGGUUGCUGGAGGUAUCAGAAGUGCGAAUGCUGACAUAAGUAACGAUAAAGCGGGUGAAAAGCCCGCUCGCCGGAAGACCAAGGGUUCCUGUCCAACGUUAAUCGGGGCAGGGUGAGUCGACCCCUAAGGCGAGGCCGAAAGGCGUAGUCGAUGGGAAACAGGUUAAUAUUCCUGUACUUGGUGUUACUGCGAAGGGGGGACGGAGAAGGCUAUGUUAGCCGGGCGACGGUUGUCCCGGUUUAAGCGUGUAGGCUGGUUUUCCAGGCAAAUCCGGAAAACCAAGGCUGAGGCGUGAUGACGAGGCACUACGGUGCUGAAGCGACAAAUGCCCUGCUUCCAGGAAAAGCCUCUAAGCAUCAGGUAACAUCAAAUCGUACCCCAAACCGACACAGGUGGUCAGGUAGAGAAUACCAAGGCGCUUGAGAGAACUCGGGUGAAGGAACUAGGCAAAAUGGUGCCGUAACUUCGGGAGAAGGCACGCUGAUAUGUAGGUGAAGCGACUUGCUCGUGGAGCUGAAAUCAGUCGAAGAUACCAGCUGGCUGCAACUGUUUAUUAAAAACACAGCACUGUGCAAACACGAAAGUGGACGUAUACGGUGUGACGCCUGCCCGGUGCCGGAAGGUUAAUUGAUGGGGUUAGCGGUAACGCGAAGCUCUUGAUCGAAGCCCCGGUAAACGGCGGCCGUAACUAUAACGGUCCUAAGGUAGCGAAAUUCCUUGUCGGGUAAGUUCCGACCUGCACGAAUGGCGUAAUGAUGGCCAGGCUGUCUCCACCCGAGACUCAGUGAAAUUGAACUCGCUGUGAAGAUGCAGUGUACCCGCGGCAAGACGGAAAGACCCCGUGAACCUUUACUAUAGCUUGACACUGAACAUUGAGCCUUGAUGUGUAGGAUAGGUGGGAGGCUUUGAAGUGUGGACGCCAGUCUGCAUGGAGCCGACCUUGAAAUACCACCCUUUAAUGUUUGAUGUUCUAACGUUGGCCCGUAAUCCGGGUUGCGGACAGUGUCUGGUGGGUAGUUUGACUGGGGCGGUCUCCUCCUAAAGAGUAACGGAGGAGCACGAAGGUUGGCUAAUCCUGGUCGGACAUCAGGAGGUUAGUGCAAUGGCAUAAGCCAGCUUGACUGCGAGCGUGACGGCGCGAGCAGGUGCGAAAGCAGGUCAUAGUGAUCCGGUGGUUCUGAAUGGAAGGGCCAUCGCUCAACGGAUAAAAGGUACUCCGGGGAUAACAGGCUGAUACCGCCCAAGAGUUCAUAUCGACGGCGGUGUUUGGCACCUCGAUGUCGGCUCAUCACAUCCUGGGGCUGAAGUAGGUCCCAAGGGUAUGGCUGUUCGCCAUUUAAAGUGGUACGCGAGCUGGGUUUAGAACGUCGUGAGACAGUUCGGUCCCUAUCUGCCGUGGGCGCUGGAGAACUGAGGGGGGCUGCUCCUAGUACGAGAGGACCGGAGUGGACGCAUCACUGGUGUUCGGGUUGUCAUGCCAAUGGCACUGCCCGGUAGCUAAAUGCGGAAGAGAUAAGUGCUGAAAGCAUCUAAGCACGAAACUUGCCCCGAGAUGAGUUCUCCCUGAGACCUAGAGACUCCUGAAGGAACGUUGAAGACGACGACGUUGAUAGGCCGGGUGUGUAAGCGCAGCGAUGCGUUGAGCUAACCGGUACUAAUGAACCGUGAGGCUUAACCUU
rnacentral:rRNA from 2 species